UACGAAGGGGGCUAGCGUUGCUCGGAAUUACUGGGCGUAAAGCGCACGCAGGUGGCUGAGUCAGUCGAUUGUGAAAGCCCUGGGCUUAACCUGGGAAUUGCAGUCGAUACUACUCAGCUAGAGUAUGGGAGAGGGUAGUGGAAUUCCCGGUGUAGCGGUGAAAUGCGUAGAAUAUCGGGCGGAACACCAGCGGCGAAGGCGGCAUCCUGGCCCUGACCUGACGCUGAGGCGCGAGAGCGUGGGGAGCAAACUGG
rnacentral:rRNA from 1 species